UCUAAUACCGGAUAUGAGCAUGCAUCGCAUGGUGUGUGUUGGAAAGUUUUUCGGUGGGGGAUGGGCUCGCGGCCUAUCAGCUUGUUGGUGGGGUGAUGGCCUACCAAGGCGUCGACGGGUAGCCGGCCUGAGAGGGCGACCGGCCACACUGGGACUGAGACACGGCCCAGACUCCUACGGGAGGCAGCAGUGGGGAAUAUUGCACAAUGGGCGAAAGCCUGAUGCAGCGACGCCGCGUGAGGGAUGACGGCCUUCGGGUUGUAAACCUCUUUCAGCAGGGAAGAAGGCCUUCGGGUGGACGGUACCUGCAGAAGAAGCGCCGGCUAACUACGUGCCAGCAGCCGCGGUAAUACGUAGGGCGCAAGCGUUGUCCGGAAUUAUUGGGCGUAAAGAGCUCGUAGGCGGUUUGUCGCGUCUGGUGUGAAAACCUCAGGCUCAACCUGGGGCGUGCAUCGGGUACGGGCAGACUAGAGUGCGGUAGGGGAGACUGGAAUUCCUGGUGUAGCGGUGGAAUGCGCAGAUAUCAGGAGGAACACCGAUGGCGAAGGCAGGUCUCUGGGCCGCAACUGACGCUGAGGAGCGAAAGCAUGGGGAGCGAACAGGAUUAGAUACCCUGGUAGUCCAUGCCCGUAAACGUUGGGGCACUAGGUGUGGGGCUCAUUCCACGAGUUCCGUGCCGCAGCUAACGCAGUAAGUGCCCCGCCUGGGGAGUACGGCCGCAAGGCUAAACUCAAAGGAAUUGA
rnacentral:rRNA from 1 species